GUAAAACGCUUUGGGCCUUGUAGGUAGAAAAGCGUUAUAUAAGCCAUUUACCAUUUACCAGUGUAGCAUCCACAAUUUUCUGCCUGACCUUUUUUUCUUUUUUUUUAAGCCUUUUAUCCGAAAUCCUUUUUAGGAUCUUAAAUGAAUAAUCUUGUGUUUCAUAUUUGUUUAUCUCUGAACAUGUUGGCAGAAAUAGGAGAUUGUUGGUUAAGGUCAGUGAUCAUUUCCCAAAGCAGCAGAUGGGAAUCAAAGUGCUGAGUCAUGAAAUCAUCAAGCACUGAAAUUCUGUAUGAAAACAUGGAGAUGUACAUUUUCCUGUUACACAGGUGUUAUUAUUCAGAAUAUUUAUAUUGUAGUAAUAAUAUAGAUAAUUAACAUAAAUUUUAUUAUUCUGAAAAUCUUGUUCAGGAAAUGCUCUGUAAUUAAAACAUUUACAUUCCUUUGACUACCGCAACACUUCUAACGUUUAUAUGAGCAAUAUAAAAAACUGAAUUAGUCAACGGGGAAAAGCUUUGCCCUGUUAUGCAACACCAAUGUACAAUAAUGUAAAGGGUUGCAAAGCUGACAUGAAAAGCUUUUCUCUGUGUCAAUCAGCUGAUCCACGUUGAUCAGGUCAAUGGGUGACUUAUGGUAGGCCAUUGAGUGUGUGUUUUUUUAGGCAUCACCAGUCACCUCUUGGUGUUAAAGCGUUAAAAACAGUCACAGUCUUAUCACUUGAGUCCAUGAAUGUGUCUGAUGUUUUUGAGAAGCUUCUGCAGAAGCCAAACUCCCCCCUGAGGGCAAUUCAGAAAAGAUGCUGGACGUUUAAAAGCAAAGAAAAUGAUGCAAUUUGGUUCAGGCACAAAAACGAAGAGUGUGUGUGGGUGUGUGUGUGAGCCUGGCAGACACACAGCAUCUGUGCAGAGUUUAACACACACGCACAAACGUUGCUGAUUCAGGUUGCGAGUCUGCGUGCUGACGCACAGAUGGUCUCAAAAACAGCACAAAACCACAAUCAGUUGCGUCUUCACGCUCGGUCUCAUGCAUGCUCAUGCAUGACGAUGACGAAGGCGUGCUGAGUGGGCGGGGCUCAGGUCAGCAGAUGCACAAACAUUCAUUCAUCCCAGCUGCCCCGGCUAAAGAAGGACACCGCGCCUACACACACUCUGACGGAGCUGCAUCCGCUGCACCGCCAGCAGGAGAGCAACAAGUGGAGCAGUCCGACCCGACACAGGGAUGAAGAUUCCAGUCUGUGCCCCAUUCCUUGGUCGUGGACCCCGCCUCUGGCUCAUAUGUGCUCCUGCCCCUGUACUUGGCCAUGGACCUCUUGCCAGACUCGCUAUUGUUCAUAUUUUAUGACUGAUUUUAUAUCUUUGUGCAAUUACAGGUGUGAAGCCUGUUGAGACAACUGUGUUGUGAUAUUGGGCUAUAUAAAUAAAAUUGAAUUAAAU